AUCGGCAAGGUCACGGAACGCCUCAGUGGCACCCACCGAGCCACUCCGGAGGUUGUGCUUUGGAGCAAGGAGUACCUGCAGUACCUUUCGCACCUGUUUCACCAGCCCGUCAUCAGAAACAAGUCGAGAGAAUGUGCGAGGAGCUGAAAGCCACAAUGGCUCACAACUUGGACUACAACGAGUGGAUGACCCCGGCCACGAGGCAGCACGCCCUGUCUAAGGUUCAGCGCAUGAAGUUCGUCGUCGGUGACCAGAACGAGGCCCUUGUGGAAGAC
rnacentral:lncRNA from 1 species